AAACUGCAGUACAAAUGUCAUUGAAAAUCGCAAUUAUGCUGCUAAGAUUGUUUUGCCGAAUUCAUUGAAUCUUUUUUUUUUUUUUUUUUUUUUUUUUUUU
rnacentral:ribozyme from 1 species